AACAACAAAGGCCAUUGCCUUUUAAGUUUUAAUUUAUUAUUUGCCUAUAAAAAACAGCUUGAACUGCAAAUAAAAAAAUUCACUCCUUACAAGCUAAUAUGCAAAAAUUAAUAUAACAUAAGUGGCACAAAGGAAUUGCCAAAGGGAUGUAUGAUGCCCAUUUCCGGAUGCUCUCUUGAUCGGCUUAUUCGAGCUCUUGGGAAAGAUAGGAUCUGACACCUGCAUUAGCAACGUCUCCCCAAAGGCACCAUAGAAUUAAAUCUCCAAGAUCACGUGCAAUUAACUACAAUUGUUUAUAGUCGACAUUAGUUUUUAACCAGAAAUAAAUCAACAAGAGAACCAGCUGCAAUAUAAUUACAAAUCCAUUCAACUACAAAUAGUCAAUUAUCAACUAUGUCGAUUAAAUAUAAUUGAAAGUAUUAAACAAAAACUAAUGACACAUAUAUGUUCUUUAAUAAACCCUGCAAAUAAUGGGCGAUAGAGACGAAGGUGAUUGAUAUUCAUUCAGAGAAAGCAUUUAACAGGUCGGAAUGGCAUUUACCUUCGAUCCCGAUGAUCUUUUUUC
rnacentral:lncRNA from 1 species